rnacentral:rRNA from 1 species
ACGGGUAGCCGGCCUGAGAGGGUGUCCGGCCACACUGGGACUGAGAUACGGCCCAGACUCCUACGGGAGGCAGCAGUGGGGAAUAUUGCACAAUGGGCGCAAGCCUGAUGCAGCGACGCCGCGUGGGGGAUGACGGCCUUCGGGUUGUAAACCUCUUUCACCAUCGACGAAGGUCCGGGUUCUCUCGGAUUGACGGUAGGUGGAGAAGAAGCACCGGCCAACUACGUGCCAGCAGCCGCGGUAAUACGUAGGGUGCGAGCGUUGUCCGGAAUUACUGGGCGUAAAGAGCUCGUAGGUGGUUUGUCGCGUUGUUCGUGAAAUCUCACGGCUUAACUGUGAGCGUGCGGGCGAUACGGGCAGACUAGAGUACUGCAGGGGAGACUGGAAUUCCUGGUGUAGCGGUGGAAUGCGCAGAUAUCAGGAGGAACACCGGUGGCGAAGGCGGGUCUCUGGGCAGUAACUGACGCUGAGGAGCGAAAGCGUGGGGAGCGAACAGGAUUAGAUACCCUGGUAGUCCACGCCGUAAACGGUGGGUACUAGGUGUGGGUUUCCUUCCUUGGGAUCCGUGCCGUAGCUAACGCAUUAAGUACCCCGCC